AGGAAGCUGCAUGGAGGUAGUCUUGCUACAGCUGAAGAGGAACAGACUGGGCAUCUGUUGGAUAUCCACUAGCUCCCUCCUCAUACACUAUCUAAUAGAUUGUUAUGGUUUAGGAAUGGUACUCCAAACCACACUACUGCUGGCUCGCUCCCCCCUUCGCCUCCCUCUUCCUGCUCCAACGGGAUGGAUUUGAGAACUGCAGGCACAAAAGGUGAAAAUAACAGGGUGAGAUAAGAACAAUGUACUGGACAGAGCAACAAAAUAAGAAAACAAACAAUAACAGCAACAAUACUAAUAUCAAAAGGUGUAAAACAAAGAAACAAUUUGCACAGAAAGUUCACAACAAAUACAAACCAGCUCUUUCCCACCAUGCUUUCUUACAAGCGAAAAAGGAUGCCUUUCUCCUUGAAAGUGAGAUAGAGUCCCUUUCCCCCACCCCUGGAAAUGAUGUGAGGUUGCAUUGAAUAACAUUAGGGGCUGGUCAUGCCCCCUUCCAGCUACUGUAAAAAAUUAACCCUGUCCUGGCCAAAGCUAGAACAUCGAUAUCCAUGCGAGAAGGGUUUGCCAACAUAUAUUUCAUUUGCGGUUGGUACCUUGGUCAUGGAUGCCAAAGAUAGGACUGGUAGUUCUUUGUCCAUGGCUAUAAUUCACUUCUGUCCUAAGAAAAAUUCAGACACAUUGCAACCUAGUCAAUUGCAGUGAUACACACAUUGUCAUGGAUGCAAAAGAUGUAUCCAUACAUCUUCGUUACAUCAUACCAGUCUUCUUCAUCAGAAGGAAGACUUGUCCUACCUAAGUUUCAGCAGGGCACUGGAUACUGCAAAUCAGCAGCCAGCUAAAGUGACUGGAGUUGAAUGAGGAGCGACAGCACAUUAGUCAUCUACAGAUAACAACUGACAGUGACUGAAAAGGGUUAAAAAGUGCUGUUUGUCUUGUAACCAUAACAAAACCAAAACACUGUAAGUAUUCAACUUUUCAGCAAAUUAGUUUUGACCAUCUUGUGCAUGGCUUUCUAAAAAUGGACAGACAAUUGAACUGGAAGGCACUUCCAUAAAGACAGAGCAUUAAAUGAAUGUUUCAGAAAAUCACAUUUGAAAUCCAUCAGCACAAGAGCAUCCUCAUUGAAGAUACAUGACCUCUAGGAAAUGUCUUCUCUAAACUACUGAACAGAAGCAGCUGGUGACCGGAAAGAGCCAAACUGAGCUUGAAGCCUGUGCCUUGUUAAAUGGGAUUUGGUCUGCGAAAAUGAGUUGAACAUUCAUUUCCAAGGUUACCCUGGGUUAGAGACUGCUGAUGGUUUUCCUAGGCUCCCUGUUGCUUGAAAUGGACACCUCAAGCUCCCUUUAUUGGAAGACAUCCUUCACAAGAAAAGCCGAGGUGAUUGUUACGUCCAUUUACUUCACCCAAUGACUCAAGCUCCUUCCUACAGCCUUUGACAAGACAAAGGUGAAAUAUCUUUUUGAAGUCCAGUGAGAAGGCAUUAUGAAGCUAUGUUAAUAUUUGGAGGAGUCAUUUCAUGUUCCUCCCUGGGCACAGCAUCCAACAAUUUCAGAAAUGUGUCAAACAACAAAUGGAAAUAUAAAAGUUUCCUAAUUUUUAAGUAAAACUGUCCCAAAAAUGUUUGACAAUCAGAAGUGAUUAAAGGAGAUUGGGGAUAAUUAAAAUUUCAGUGCCUAUAGUAAAAAGCAAACAGCUCCUAGUUCCAGUUCAGUAACUAGAAACAGAAUUAAUGCUCUUUCGUUGGCUAGCCUAGUGACGGAAACAUUGGCAGUACUGAUUCAGCUCAAGGAAGGUACUUCUAGCAGCCUGCAGUUUUGGGUUUUUUUUCUUAAUUCCUUGUUUCAGCUCCUGCUAUGUGAUGUACUAUAAUGUAUCACCCUGCCUUCUAGGUUAGCCCAGUGAAACCUCUGUGUUGAUGACCUGUCCUGUUUACUGCAGAACAUUAGCAUUCCUAUAAGAAACUGUGAAUCACAGCAGGUGUUCAUCUUCAGAUAAGCCUGACUUUCCCUGUAUGCACACCUCUUUCUCAGAUAUAAAUGUACAACUUUGCAACUAUCCUGGUAAAGUCUUGAUGGUUUUUCUGGGUAUGUUUUAGUGUUUUGUGUUAUUUGGUAUUGUUCUCAUUAGUUCAGGUUUCUUUCAAAGAAUUCACCACCAUUCAGGGAGGAGUUCCAGGUUAGAAACACCAUGACUAUUGCCUGCUGAUGUUAUGGUUGGGAAUAACUGCUUGGUUUGCUCUUACUUGUCCCUUUCGAAGUUGACAUAUGGAGUCUUCAACCAUCCUUGUGAAAAGCAUCCCUCCCCAUUAUGUAUUGGAAAAUGUACACUUUGGAUGAUGACAUUUGAUGGUGCAUUCUGGCCAUCUGAUACCUAAAAUUUCUCUUUCUGUUUUUAAGACUGAGCCUCCUUUUUUUUUUUCCAGCACCAGGAGUUUCUUUCAUCUGUGAUAGCAGAUGGUGAUCGACCCCUGCUUCAACAUCUGGGUACAUGAUUGUUUCAUUCCCAAGCAAAAUGUAGCAAACAUGCUUUGCAGAGGAGGUCUUGCCCUCCCAUCCAAUCUCCUUUUCCAUUAGAUCAUCUUAAUUAAAACAUCAAAAGAAAAUUCAGUUAUAUAAUUUCUUGUUGAACACAACAGCUCCUCAGUUAGAGGUAACUAAAAUGAAGUGCCAGUGAGAGAGCUGAGUCUUAAAUACAUGCAAUCCCUUUAAAUAUCUCAGAAAAUAUAAGUAAGUGAGCAAUGAUCCCAUUAGCCAAGUCCUUAUGCUCCUUUUCUACUUUCUGAUCUGCAUCUGAUGCAAGAAUUAUGUGGUCUGAUGCAUUUCAGGGCUACUUACCUGUGGUGUACCCUGAAGAUUUUUUUUUACAGUACAUUAUGAUUUGAUUUACG